CAUAAGGAGCACUGGACUAGCUGGGAUUGUACCAGUAUGAAAUGCAUCAGGCUCGCAGUGGCAUGGCAGGACUCAUAUCUACUGCAGCAAAAAGCUACUGAGAUCAGAUAUGCACGGAGUCUGGGCAGGUAAAGCCAAUGCAAGAUUAUGGCAUCCAUAUGAAAGAUCAGCACCAAGGUGAAGGUGUGUGAACUCACCUGCUCUCCACGACGGCCCCGCCGCUGCUGCUGCUCCCGCUGCCCAUGCUGACCGCUGC